CAAAUCAGGUAGGACUACCCGCUGAACUUAAGCAUAUCAAUAAGCGGAGGAAAAGAAACCAACAGGGAUUGCCUCAGUAACGGCGAGUGAAGCGGCAAAAGCUCAAAUUUGAAAUCUGGUACCUUUGGUGCCCGAGUUGUAAUUUGAAGAUAGUUUUCUGGUGCUGGCCCUUGUCUAUGUUCCUUGGAACAGGACGUCACAGAGGGUGAGAAUCCCGUCUGGCGGGGUGUCCAGUGCUUUGUAGAUUUCUAUCGACGAGUCGAGUUGUUUGGGAAUGCAGCUCUAAGUGGGUGGUAAAUUCCAUCUAAAGCUAAAUAUUGGCGAGAGACCGAUAGCGAACAAGUACAGUGAUGGAAAGAUGAAAAGAACUUUGAAAAGAGAGUGAAAAAGUACGUGAAAUUGUUGAAAGGGAAGGGUAUUAGAUCAGACUUGGUGUUUUGUGAUUAUCUUCCCUUCUUGGGUUGUGCACUCGCAUUUCACUGGGCCAGCAUCGGUUCGGGUGGUAAGAUAAUGACAUUGGAACGUGGCACUGCCUUCGGGUGGUGUGUUAUAGCCCUUGUUGAUGUUGCCUAUCUGGACCGAGGACUGCGGCUUUUGCCUAGGAUGCUGGCGUAAUGAUCUAACACCGCCCGUCUUGAAACAUGGACCAAGGAGUCUAACGUCUAUGCGAGUGUUUG
rnacentral:rRNA from 1 species